UGAGAAUCCAUUGUGCUCUCUCUGGCAAUCUUGGGGGUAGGGAGCCAUCAAUUUCUUGUUUCACUUUUAUUACUUUUGGAAAGAGGAAGCGUUGUCUGUGUUUUUUGUGGUGCUAUAAAAUCAAAUUCAUAUUGCCCUGAGCCCCUACUAGAGGCUACACGGCGAAGUAGAGGUGCAGCUGGGGACACUGAAGAGCACUAGCUAUGGAUAGGAGUGGUUGAAAAAGCAACUGGAAACCACAGUGGAAUUGCUAACACAAGGUGGCUUGGCAUCAGUUACCUGGUGAAUGCUUGAGACCCGGAACAGGCCUUCUGAGGUCAGUGCGAGCAAGGAGGAGAGAGGCGCUGGGGCUCUGAGGAUGGGAGAACAUAGGUGACAAAGAGGAGAACUGAGACAUUCCACGGAAAAGAGUGGCAGUGGCAGAGUAGAUAGAGCCCCACCCAGCAGUCAGGGGACCUGGCUUUGCAUCUCCUCUCCAGAUCUCUCCUCCAGCUUCCUGUGUGGCACGGGGCAAGCAACAUAACCUUUCUGAAUUUUCAUUUCCUCAACUGUAAAUGGGGCAUUUAAUGACUCAUCCAUUCAAGGAAUGUUUGUUGAGCACCUGCUGCGUAGCAGACGCUAGAAGUACGGCAGUGAGCAGCAGAGAUAGGAUUUACGCCUUCAAAGGGUUAGUCUUCCGGUGGAAAAUCACAGGUCGUCAGGAGCCAACAAUAUUGGGAAUUGAGUUCUAUGACAAGGAAGUGGUAGGGGCCAUGGGAAUACCAAGGAGUAGAGGCUUCCUAGAAGAGGAAAUGAGAGUGAAAGUUAUAGCAGAAGUAACUUCUCAGAUGGUCCUAUCAGAGAAACGCCACGCUCUAAAGAUCUACUUAAUUCUGCAGUGACUACUUCCUGUGUAUUUGUUGAAAAUUUGGCUCAGUUUUUAAUUGAGUAAAUACAUUUUGAGGAACUGCAGACAUGCUGGAAGUUUGGGCAAUUUUGAGAAUCAAAUCAUAUGAAAAACUUAAGGGUCUUCAAGGAUGUAUUCACCUCUGGCCGUAUUUCCAGUCCUGCCUCCCUGUCUUACCCCUCACCUGACCUGGAGUAGUUCUUACUUUACUCUUAAACCACAAUCCAGAAGCAGCAGAUCUGUGGAAUGGUGUAAUAGCAAAAGGGAUUCACAAUCAUUUGUGCUUUUCAUCAGUGACUUCAACAGCAAUAAUUCAGAAUACACUCCAUGCUUCAGUAAUGCAGAUCUGAAGGAAGCGGGAACUCAGACCGACCGACUGAUUUGAGGCUGUGUGGUUCAGUCCAAAAUUUAGCCGUGCAUGGAAUUUCAUUAAACAUGGAGCGCAUGGUUUUGAUACAAUCCCCACUUUGUCCUCCACCCACACCACUGCUUUCUAAAUGAGUUUGGUUGAGAGCAAUCUAUUAAUCCUUCAACGAUGAGAAAGAAAAGCAAUGGAAAAUCUGGCAAAAUGAAUUGUAUAUGAGUCAAUGCUUGGACUCCUGGAAGUGGAAGACGUGCAGAAAGAAAAAACCCGUCUUUCAGCAAAUUGAGAGCAUUGAUUGAGCUCUGCAAGGAAGAAUUUCUUUUUAAUUUUUCUUUUUUGAUAGAUGUCGGAGAUAUUGAAGUAAAGACAAUAAAUAAAUAACAUUGAGCAAGGAAUCAUUUCUACCAAUGGCGGCAUUAAAACUUUUACUGUGACUGCGUGUGGAAUAGGCAAGUUGGAAGCUUAUGAGUGGUUGCUCUCUUAAAACCUGUUCUAGUGGGAGCUGGCAGGGGACACAGGGCUGGGAGCUUCAUCUGGCACAAAAGAGUGCGAACCCUAUCUCAGAACCAAAGCUAACUUCCCCACGUGAUCUUGUUUUCCGUCUCAGUCUCCAUGCUCAGUCCUCACUGGCAGCCUCCCUUUUGAUCCAUUUGGUUGCUUGCAGUGGGUCCUGCACCCUGGCCCAGAGGCCCCACGUGGCAUAGGCAGGUCUCUGUAGAAGGUGGCGCUUAGCUUUUCUUUGUUUUCAGUUUCCAUCCCUCCCCCAUGUUAUUUUUAUGACCUGUGCUCUUUCGUUCAGUUCUACCCAAAUCCUACAGGUGCCGUGUUUCUGAUUCUGUUCCAAGGACCCCUAAUGUUGUCCCCUAACAAUUAGGUUCAUUUGUGGCUGAUUGUGCCUCUGCACUUGGAAUAAAC
rnacentral:lncRNA from 1 species